GAUAUAAAAACUUGGUGGCUGUGACAGACUUGCAUUGUAAAAGAGUAAAUAAGGAAAUCAAACAAUGGUAGGGAAAUGGGCAAAGAAUUCCCCGCUACAGCUUAAUUUCUUCGAUCUGUUUCUAGUACGGAUGCAUUUACAAAGGAUAACUAGAAAUAUAGUGCAUUCAUCACCAGCGCUUGAGCAUGUAGCCUACCCACUAGAUUUUGGUACAGCCCAACGAGCUUCUAGAGCUACAGGGCCUUGCAUAAUUAAAAAUGCUAUCCAUAUUAUUCUUUUAGAGAGAUCACUAGACAUAACGGCGUAACCUUUCCAUAUAAAGGUAGACUCGGCUAAGCCCGUAUCUAGUCACCUCGGCCGCUGUUUGAUCAGUGCGCAUCAGCCUGAAAACUAACCAUUGAAAGCAGCCCUCUCUUACCAAAAAAAAAAAGAAAUAGCAGCCCUCCACCGUUACAUUCAAAAAGAAAAAAAACUGAAAAGCCGUUAAUGACAUGGAACAAAGUACAGCACUCGUCCAAAAUGAGAUGGACAUGAUGCAACGUCCACGCCAUGCCCAUCCAACAAAUCUCUCUCUCCCUCUCUUCCUCACCCUAAGCCAAAUAUUUUUCUAUUUAUUUAUGCAAGGUUUGCGUUUAUUUCCGUUUAGAUCAGGGGUUAAUGUUUAUUUAUGCAGAGUUAGUAUUUAUCCUGAUCCGCUUGUGUUUAUUUUGGAGUACGUAGCAUUUACUCUCUCGGAACUUUCUAUUUAUUCCCUGUUGCCGUUUACCACAAGACAAUCUAUCACCUGAUCGAAGAUAGCCAUAUUCCUUUUUCUGUUUAUUUUUCCAUAUAUAUGUUUAUUCUCAUAAAUUAUGUUUAUCAUUUUGGGGUCAGGGUUUGUCCUGGACAUUAGUAUUUAUUUCUAUAAGCAGAGAGAGAGAGAGAGAGAGAGAGAGAGAGAGAGAGAGAGAGAUGGC
rnacentral:lncRNA from 1 species